UACAGAGGGGGCAAGCGUUGUUCGGAAUUACUGGGCGUAAAGGGCGCGUAGGCGGCCUUCUAAGUCGAACGUGAAAUCCCCGGGCUCAACCCGGGAACUGCGUCCGAUACUGGCGGGCUUGAAUCCGGGAGAGGGAUGCGGAAUUCCAGGUGUAGCGGUGAAAUGCGUAGAUAUCUGGAGGAACACCGGUGGCGAAGGCG
rnacentral:rRNA from 1 species